AUCUUUUUGUAGUUCAUAAGCAUGAUGAUUGGGUUGUCAUGCGCAUGCUUGAGAUAUGCCUCCCACAAAUCUUGUUAUGAUAUCGGCAUAUUACCUGUCUGACA
ensembl:snoRNA